rfam:Danio rerio chromosome 4, GRCz11 reference primary assembly.
GCUUUGGUGGUUCAGUGGUAGCAUUCUCUACUGCCACGCGGGAGACCCGGGUCCGAUUCCCGGCCAAUGCA